GUGGGGAAUCUUGCGCAAUGGGCGAAAGCCUGACGCAGCCAUGCCGCGUGAAUGAUGAAGGUCUUAGGAUUGUAAAAUUCUUUCACCGGGGACGAUAAUGACGGUACCCGGAGAAGAAGCCCCGGCUAACUUCGUGCCAGCAGCCGCGGUAAUACGAAGGGGGCUAGCGUUGCUCGGAAUCACUGGGCGUAAAGCGCACGUAGGCGGACAGUUUAGUCAGAGGUGAAAGCCCAGGGCUCAACCUUGGAAUUGCCUUUGAUACUGGCUGUCUUGAGUACGGGAGAGGUGAGUGGAACUCCGAGUGUAGAGGUGAAAUUCGUAGAUAUUCGGAAGAACACCAGUGGCGAAGGCGACUCACUGGCCCGUUACUGACGCUGAGGCGCGAAAGCGUGGGGAGCAAACAGGAUUAGAAACCCGGGUAGUCC
rnacentral:rRNA from 1 species